CAAGUCGAACGGCAGCGGGAAAGUAGCUUGCUACUUUUGCCGGCGAGUGGCGAACGGGUGAGUAAUGUAUCGGAACGUGCCCAGUAGCGGGGGAUAACUACGCGAAAGCGUGGCUAAUACCGCAUACGCCCUACGGGGGAAAGGGGGGGAUCUUAGGACCUCUCACUAUUGGAGCGGCCGAUAUCGGAUUAGCUAGUUGGUGGGGUAAAGGCCUACCAAGGCGACGAUCCGUAGCUGGUUUGAGAGGACGACCAGCCACACUGGGACUGAGACACGGCCCAGACUCCUACGGGAGGCAGCAGUGGGGAAUUUUGGACAAUGGGGGAAACCCUGAUCCAGCCAUCCCGCGUGUGCGAUGAAGGCCUUCGGGUUGUAAAGCACUUUUGUCAGGGAAGAAAAGGUUUCGGAUAAUACCCGGAACUGAUGACGGUACCUGAAGAAUAAGCACCGGCUAACUACGUGCCAGCAGCCGCGGUAAUACGUAGGGUGCAAGCGUUAAUCGGCAAUUACUGGGCGUAAAGCGUGCGCAGGCGGUUCGGAAAGAAAGAUGUGAAAUCCCAGGGCUCAACCUUGGAACUGCAUUUUUAACUACCGAACUAGAGUAUGUCAGAGGGGGGUGGAAUUCCACGUGUAGCAGUGAAAUGCGUAGAUAUGUGGAGGAACACCGAUGGCGAAGGCAGCCCCCUGGGAUAAUACUGACGCUCAUGCACGAAAGCGUGGGGAGCAAACAGGAUUAGAUACCCUGGUAGUCCACGCCCUAAACGAUGUCAACUAGCUGUUGGGCCCUUCGGGGCUUAGUAGCGCAGCUAACGCGUGAAGUUGACCGCCUGGGGAGUACGGUCGCAAGAUUAAAACUCAAAGGAAUUGACGGGGACCCGCACAAGCGGUGGAUGAUGUGGGAUUAAUUCGAUGCAACCGCGAAAAAACCUUACCUACCCUUGACAUGUCUGGAAUCCUGAAGAGAUUUAGGAGUGCUCGCAAGAGAACCGGAACACAGGUGCUGCAUGGCUGUCGUCACUCGUGUCGUGAGAUGUUGGUUAAGUCCCGCAACGAGCGCAACCCUUGUCAUUAGUUGCUACAUUUAGUUGAGCACUCUAAUGAGACUGCCGGUGACAAACCGGAGGAAGGUGGGGAUGACGUCAAGUCCUCAUGGCCCUUAUGGGUAGGGCUUCACACGUCAUACAAUGGUCGGGACAGAGGGUUGCCAAACCGCAAGGUGGAGCUAAUCUCAUAAACCCGAUCGUAGUCCGGAUUGCAGGCUGCAACUCGCCUGCAUGAAGUCGGAAUCGCUAGUAAUCGCGGAUCAGCAUGUCGCGGUGAAUACGUUCCCGGG
rnacentral:rRNA from 1 species